rnacentral:rRNA from 1 species
GGGCUGUGUUUAUUAGAUACAAAACCAACCCACUUUGUGGAGCCYUGGUGAUUCAUAGUAACCGAACGGAUCGCAUUUGGCUUCGGCCCGCGAURGAUCWUUCAAGUUUCUGACCUAUCAGCUUUCGACGGUAGGGUAUUGGCCUACCGUGGCAGUGACGGGUAACGGGGAAUUAGGGUUCGAUUCCGGAGAGGGAGCCUGAGAAACGGCUACCACAUCUAAGGAAGGCAGCAGGCGCGCAAAUUACCCAAUGAAAACAGUUUCGAGGUAGUGACGAGAAAUAACAAUACAGGGCAUUUUAUGCUCUGUAAUUGGAAUGAUGGGAAUGUAAAACCCUUUCAGAGUAACAAUUGGAGGGCAAGUCUGGUGCCAGCAGCCGCGGUAAUUCCAGCUCCAAUAGUGUAUAUUAGAGUUGUUGCAGUUAAAAAGCUCGUAGUUGGAUUUCUGUCGUGGUCAUCYGGYWCCGCCCGUAUGGGUGUG